UACGACCGCAAGGUUAAAACUCAAAGGAAUAGACGGGGACUUGCACAAGCGGUGGUUCAUGUGGUUUAAUUCGAUGGUAAACGAAGAACCUUACCAGGGUUAGAAAUCUAGUCGAAGGCAAGCAGAAACGUUUGUCGUCUCACAAGGACGGCUAGACAGGUGCUGCAUGGCCGUCGUCAGUUCGUGGUUUGAAUUGAUCCCUUAAGUGGGGUAACGAACGCAACCCUCGUUGCCUGUUAUAUUUGUCAGGCGAGACUGCCCCAGAUUUUGCUCAGAAGCAAAAUCCAGUGAAAAGUGUAAAGUCAAAAGUGGAAAGUGGAUGCAUUUGUAUUCGACUUUUUACUUUAAACUUUUAACUUUCAACUUGAUUUUGAGCUUCCGCUCAAAAUCUGGGGAGGAAGGCGAGGAUGACGCCAGGUCAGCAUGGCCCUCUGAUACCCUGGGCUACACACGUGGAACAAUGGCCGCUACAACGCGUUGCGACGGGGUAACCCUGAGCUAAUCGUUAUAAAAGCGGCCCCAGUUUGGAUUGAGGUCUGCAACUUGACCUCAUGAAAUCGGAAUCGCUAGUAAUCGCGGGUCAGCACACCGCGGUGAAUACGUUCUCAAGUCUUGUACUCACCGCCCGUCAAGUCAGGGGAGUUGGAAGUACCCGAAGUCCCGCCUCGCGCGGGCCUAAGGUAAAUUCAAUGACAAAGACUAAGUCGUAACAAGGCACGGGUAGCGGAAGCUGCUCGUGGAAUAUUUCAAUU
rnacentral:rRNA from 1 species